rnacentral:lncRNA from 10 species
ACCAGCUGAAUUAAUAUAAAUAUGAAGCAGAUUCUGGAGACCCGCACAACCAGUCGGAGUCUUUCCCUGAUGACCUCACAACCUGGGGAAGAUGACGGGCUGCGGGCGCAGAGCUGCGCAAAGAGGGCUACAGGCUGGGGCUAAAGCCGCUGUGCUGAAACGGAAUGUCCUGGAGUCUAUGAAUCUUCCAGCACCAUCAGUUCACCGCGUGAUGGAGGCUGAGGCUGUGGCCGAAUCACCGAGACCCUUGGAAAGAAGACACAGGGCAGUGAAGAGCUAACCUCGAGCUCUGGCUGGAGCAAGAGACAAAGGCCCCGCCAGGUACCGGGAGCCACCCCUUCCUCUCUGACUGUGAACCUGAUUGGACAGUUCCCACCCCAGCGCCCUUAAUGGAUAGAGCUCCAGGCUCCGCGCCCUCAGGCCUUGAGUGACAGAAGACGCGAUCAGACCUUGCACUGAAUACCGCGAGCGUGACAGGCUCUUGGCUCCAGUCAUUUCAGGAAGGGCUAUCUCUGGGUUGGGCCCACAUGUGCCCAGGGGUUAUUUUAAAUCUUGUGUAUAAGGUUAUGUCCAUUUAUAAAUUUUAUUCAUACAC